rnacentral:rRNA from 1 species
AAUAGAUACCCUGGUAGUCCUAGCUGUAAACGAUGAGCACUGGGUUGAGGGGACUUCCACAUCCUCUCGGCCGUAGCGAAAGCGUUAAGUGCUCCGCCUGGGGAGUAUGGCCGCAAGGCUGAAACUCAAAGGAAUUGACGGGGGCUCACACAAGCGGUGGAGGAUGUGGCUUAAUUCGAGGCUACGCGAAGAACCUUAUCCUAGAUUUGACAUGGUUGAGAAUCUCCUUGAAAGAGGAGAGUGCCCUUCGGGGAGCUCUUUCACAGGUGCUGCAUGGCUGUCGUCAGCUCGUGUCGUGAGAUGUUGGGUUAAGUCCCUUAACGAGCGAAACCCUUAUCUUUAGUUGCCAGCGGGUCAAGCCGGGGACUCUAAAGAGACUGCCGGUGUCAAACCGGAGGAAGGUGGGGAUGACGUCAAGUCCUCAUGGCCUUUAUGUCUAGGGCUGCACACGUCCUACAAUGGCACGUACAAAGGGAAGCCAAGCCGCGAGGCCGCGCUAAUCCCAAAAAGCGUGCCCCAGUUCGGAUUGCAGG